AAAAAAAAAAUCCCGAACGCGAAGCAGCCUUCGUCUAUUGCGGCUCUUUUUUGAUUUUUGUUUCCCUUGCAGUUUGCGCCUCGUUCCCGUGCACUUUAACUCACGCUGUGCCUUUUCUUUGAGAACUUGUUCACAGGUUCUUUCCCCCCAUCGCCACGUCUAAGCCAUAUCUUUUUUCAUCUCUCAAUUUGAUUUUAUGCAACAAAGUUUAAGACAAAGGGAUAUGUCCAGAUUUUGGCAGCACUGAGAGGAGACAGAGCUGCAGCCAAGGAUCCUGCUGGGAUCCAAAAAAGCAAGGCAGAAUGAAGCACCAAAAAAAAAAAAAAAGAAAACACCACCCUUUCCUUUGCCUGGUCACAAAUUCCACUUUCUCUGUAGCCAGCCCUGCGAUGCGACUCCUCCUCAUCCACAUCUUACCGCAUUCAACCUUUUGCCAUUUCUCUCUUGCCGUACCUUUUUUUUUUCAGGCGAUUUGAGGUUUUUGUACCCCGGAAAAUGGGGACUGGACAGCGGGUUAGGAGGGCGGAACAGGGAGAGAACGAGGGGAUGUUAACUUUUUACUUUUUGCUUGUAAUUCAGCGUUUUCACUGUUACUGAUAUAGAGGGACUGUUGUGGUGCUUGUAGGUUUGAGUCUUUUUACAUUUUGCAGGGUUACGCUUGGAUUACCGUUUUUGUUAAGUGUGCGGUUUUUAGCAACGUGUGUGCAUGGAUAUUUUAUGUGUUAGCAUCAGACUUUCUGUUCUGUUCAGUCAGUUUGUGAUGAUUGCUUUUUUGUCUUUCUGUAGGUUUCCUAAUUUCUGCUGGAGCGCUGGCCUGUACUGCCCCUCAAGCCUGCCUCCAUCUGAUUCCAGAGGAGGUCUGACCAUCAGGUCCAACAUGUGCCCUAAUGAUUUAUCCCCUCUCUCACAGACCGCGGCCGCAUCCUCGCCUGCAGAAGACUGCGGCAGCCUCCUCCUCCUCCGCCGCCGCGGCCGCCGGCCGGGUGAGUUUUCCUCUUUCCUCCUCUCCCCCCUGCGCAUCGCAUAUCAUCACCCCCGCUCCCCCUCCCCUUCAUCCGAGCUCCCAUUCUGUCUGCCUGACGAAUUAGACGUCCCUCCACAAAGUCGGAGCUAAAUGAUUGACAGGUGCCAUCUCAGAGGAUGGAGCAUGUGUGGGGAGCAGGGAUCUCUCCCAGGGCCCGUGUAAGUGCUGGGGAGCUGUGGCUUUGCAGCGGCGGGGGGGGGGGGGGGGGUUGCUGGAGGUGAGCCCGUGGCAGCCCAUUUACAGCCCGUGCUGCUGUCCUUGUCAUCUGACUCUCGACUGCGCAUGUGCACAGUGCAGGAUUCUGGCAUUUUAGGUGCAAAGAAAUAAAAAAAUCAACAACGCUUGACCGUCCAUCGACGGAGCAUGGCUCGUGCAUGCGGGGCUGCUGCAGUGACAAAUAGGCCAAAAUAUGCUGGGCCGGUCUUAUGAACAUGUGAUAAUGAAGCGCUGUCUGUUUGGGCGUGUGUGGCCGCGCUGUGGCGACUAUAAUACGCGUGUGCUGGCUGUUUUUUUUUUUUUCUUCAUUAAUCUUUAUGCGCGAUGCGCUGCGGAUUUACUGCGUUUAUCUGUAUUUUGCAGAUUGCUACUGUGUGAUGCUUACUCUGUUGUAGUACAAAGACCGGUGGCUGAUAUAUGCACAUAUAGCAGAGCGGCGCCGUCCUCGGCUUAGCGAGACCAGGCGGGACUGAGAUUUAAAAGCCAGGGAUGGAGGAGAGUGCCAUUGUCUGCGCCGGUCUGAGUCCCGGCGCUGAAGCAGCAGCACGCGCACCUCCGACGUGAUGGCGACCGGUGCCUCUCUCACUCCCUGAGACCCUAACUUGUGACGUUUUGCUGUGAUGUGCACGGGUUGGGUUCUCGGGAGCUGUGAGGGGCGCUCACGCAUCUCUGCAGCCUGAAAGGGGAGCGAGGAGCGGGCAGCGCGUCGAGAGCCGGCGGAUGGACCGCUGGCUCGCCUCUUUCCUUUUUUUUUUUUUUUUUUUUUUUUUGUUGUCUAGGCACAGUGACAGGGAACGCUCGUUUGAUCCACCCACCGGGGGGGAAAGCGAGAGCGAGGGGAGCGGAGAGGAGGGACGUCAGUGUUUCUUUCAGGACGUGAAGGGGUUCAGAGCCACAGGAAGGCACAGUGUGGGGGGUGCUGGGCAGGACGGGGGAGGGGGGGGGCACGUGACCGGGACGGAGGGAUGUCCAGACUGUGAUGGCAGAACACUGUCACAUUCACAGCAUCCAUCGCACAGGUACAAUGAGCCAAUGAGGAAUCUGAGUAUACGCUCACACCCACAGUGCAACAGGACCUCACUCAGCCAGUCACAUGUUAAACAUAUGGACCACUAUAACUGUAAAUGCGCUAAUUAACACACAACACAUCACAGAUUAUAGGCUAAAAAGUGCAAAUCACACAUUUGGUUCGGUUUAUUACAUCUCUUUUCUCAUGAAGGGCCAGAAAAAGCCUCAUCACGGCUCCUCUCGUUUCCACUACUUGAGCCGUCCACAGGCUCUUCACGCCUCAUCUUGAGAGCAGCACAAAGUACUGUCGAGAGCGUGACAUUGAAAGCUCAGUACACUUGUGUUUGACCUCAUGAAAAAACCCAUCCCUCGUCACCUGACGCACCUCCACGGCUGCCGGGCCACGAAACCGGACGCGAGCGGGACCGGAGCGAGGUGUAAAACUGUUAACUGAGGGCGGAGCGGGCGAGAGCGCGCGCGUGUCCCAGCGCGGCGCCGUCUUCGGGUCCCGAUGACCGGCGGCUCGUGCCAAGGAAGCGGCGCGCCGGUUGCCAAGUGUUUCCCUAAAACUACGGCAAAGCGCGCCGAAAUGUGUGCAAACGUCUGUUCCUGGAACCGCUCGGUGAUCUGUGAUCACAGUAACAGCUUCUUCUCGAGCCCCCCCCCCCCACGCCUCCACACCUCCGCCCGCCGCCUCCGGCCGCGUUCGAUGCCUCGGUGCCGGUCCGGUCGGACCGUCACGUGGGCGAAGGACAGGUAGCUGUGAACGCCGGCUUUGAGGGCGUUUUGAGCCGUAUCAGAGGAGCGGAUGAAGGAGCUGCUGCCGUUUGCGCUCCAAUCCCCACAUGCACAAGGACUUUAGAGAUUCAUUAAAUAGGCAUUUUCAGCGUGCGGUCAAAUGCUCUUAGUGAGCGGCGGCGCGUUCACGUCGACGCGCACUUUUCAUCCUGUCGGAGCUUUGCUUCUCAGCCUGGUUUCAGUUUACGGUGAAGAUACAGUGCAGCUACACUGGAGGCCCCACGGAGACUCUCAGCCAGGAAAUAAAAAGGGAUAUGAUGUCAUUCAAACUCAUCCGAUGCACUUUAAUCACAUGAUUACUAUGUAUUGUAGAGUUCAGAUGGAUUUUGGUUGCAUGCAUAUUGCAGUGUAUGAGCUGUAGGGACUUCAUGGCUACGUUAUUGUACAGCAUCUUUGAGUCUCUUUGUGGAUUUUGAACUUAAGAACGUUAAUGUAAAAAAGCCGUUCAUUGUCAGUGGACACGUUUUCAGGGAUUCUGGGUUUUCUUAAGCUUUUGGUGGUGAACUUGCGAACGCAGCCGUGCAGACCAGCUGCAGCAGUAGGUCAUGGUGUCAGUGCCGGACUGGUUCAGCAGAAACUCGCAGAGACGGCGCUUCUCUAUGAAAAGAAGGAGGAACACGCUGGUUAUUUUUAGCGAGGCCGAUAUAAUUUUGGUUUAGAUUUUGACAUGUCAUCUCCUGCUCUGACACAAACGACGCGACGAACGAGUGCGAAAGCGGCCGGGGAGCGUGUGUGUGUGUGUGUGUGUGUGUGUGUGUGUGUGUGUGUGCGUGUGCGUGUGUGUGCGCGCUUGCACGUGCACGUCCAGCUUUAUUAAGACGUCCCACCACAGCCUUGCCCCCUGGCCUGCUCGGGCUCUUCUACUUGUAAAAUGGCUGACCAUAGAGACAGCUACAGAUCAGUCAGUGUCACUCACUGGCUGCCUGGUGCUACAGGACGCUGCAGUGCCCACAGGGGUGGAAAUGAUUCAAAAGAAGCCUAAACCUCCCCUUUAGACACGAGGGGGGGAUCAGUCCCUGCAUUCAAACAGUGACCUGUGAACGACUCCUCUGUGCAUCGUGAAUGUACAGGACAGUGCGCGGCAGCCUCGCGGCGUCUCUCGUCCGUCGCCGCCGCAUCACUCAGGACCCCACAGAGGCCUGAGGCGCCCUCUGAUCACGGGAUGAGAGUCCGGACAUUUGAGUGCAGCUCAGCCCCUUGUGACAGUAGCUGCCGUUUGCUCCGGCUGCAGAAGCAGGUGUGUCUACCUCCGGUGCCCCCCUCCACCGCCACCUCCCCCUCCACCCCUACCUGUUCCCUUAUCACUGCAGUACGGCAGCCAUUCCAUUGUGCCUGCCCCCCCCCCCCCCCCCCCCCCCCACCUACAGCAUCGCUGCUCCAGCCCAUCAAAGACACUGGCACCCGCUCUCUGUACCACUUGGCCCCCGGUCGCUCCGAGCGGGUUUACGCUUGCAGGCGCGUCUCCUCCGCAGCCUGGACUCGUCUCGCGGCGCCCUCCGCCGCAGACCGCCGCCAUCUUGUUACUGCUCGCGCUGACGGCGCGUCCGCCUUUGCUGCGCUCAAACCAAACUCAUCUAAGCCAGCUCCGAGCCGUUGCCAGUGCGGCUGUGUGUCGCUCCGUGCCGGGCGCGCCUCAGCGUAGCUCCAUCACCGCGCUUCCCUGGACUACCGCAAGGGGUUUAUCGCUGCACGUGCAGGGGCACCUGGGACUUUAAGACGCGCUUUAUACCUGAUCAGCCGCUGAGAGGUGGUUGCCACCAUGCACACAUGCCUACAGUACUGCAUGUUUGUUCAACACAUCUUUCACAUAAUGUUAUGUUACAGUUGUUUGAGCAGCUAUCUUCAUUUCCAGGUUAUUUAUUUUUUUUUUGCAUGUGGUACCAAAAUGGCGCCACACAUCUGGACUGUGUAACUUCACGUCACAGGCUAAACGUGCGUGCGUGCGUCUUUGCAGUGACAAAGAGCAGGCUGUUAACCCAAAGGGUGCAGAUUUGGAGCUAAUGGGAAUGAUAUCGCGCCGCAUGUGCUCUGGUGAAAUACAAGUAGAGUUGAGUGGGUGGAGUUCAGGUCUCAGAUCCUCUCAGACACUCUGCCAAGAACAAACUAUACUAAUAAAACCAUAAAGAGGAGGGGAAAACAGCAAACUGUCCCUUGAUAAUACAUCUGUAUGUGGAAGCCAGAGGUUUGCGGUGAUUCUACAUGUACAGGUGAGAUCCGCCUCACGUCAGAGUGAAAUGCUCUCCGCUUUCCUUUGACCUUCCUCAUCGCACGUCUGUGGAGGACGCCCUCUGUCCCAGCAGCCAUGAGGCAACCAGCUGCUCAGCCACACCUCAUCGUGAUCAUACUGCCGCUGAAGGUGAGGUGAUCAUAUUUAACGGUAUUUCGCCCAAUGUUGCCCAUUUCAGCUCUAACUGAUUGGUCAAUCUUGAAUGAGUGCAGUCUGCGCUGCUCAAUAUGCACUUUAAUGUUAUUGUCUAAUUUAUGAUCAACUGUAAAGCAAAAUGUUAAUGAAGUGAACAGUCAAAUAGAUUCUGAAAUGUAUCUUAUUCCUUCAUUAUGAUGCAUUUUCUCUCUUCUGUUUUUUAAAUGUCUGUCGUAUUAAAGCCAUGCAGUGGACACCUUUUUGACUCUUACCGGUGAAUUUUCUCCAGGAAGUGGACAUGGCAUAAAUAUGAUAACAGUGUUCAUGGUUCUUGGACUGUGUGGUGUUUUCACUUUGACCAUUCGUCAACACCUUUGGCUGGUUGAGGUGGUUCUGCUGCAUGUCAUAAAAAUGCAUUUUCAUAAAUAUUUCCACAUCUUCUACUUCUCCACAUUACAAGUCCUGUUUAAAUUUACUCCCCUAUCAUUUAUUAAACAGCUCUAGUUAUGAGUCUCUGCCACAGUGCAGCGGUAUUCAUUGGACUCUGAGGCAGCACUGUGCUGCUGUGACACUACUGAAAAUGUAUUUAUUUUAAUAAAUGCUUUAUUUUACUGUAUAUUGCAAUGUGCACUGUAAAAUUCAUGGGACAGUUUUAUUUUGAUAUUUAUUAUGUGAUGGGACUCUGUUAUAAUUCUCAUUUCCAUGUAUUGUAUAAAGCAACAUUUGAUGGUAAUAAAAGGCAUCAGCCAAAAUAUUUUACCAAA